rnacentral:rRNA from 1 species
GAUGAACGCUGGCGGCGUGCCUAAUACAUGCAAGUCGAGCGAACAGACGAGGAGCUUGCUCCUCUGACGUUAGCGGCGGACGGGUGAGUAACACGUGGAUAACCUACCUAUAAGACUGGGAUAACUUCGGGAAACCGGAGCUAAUACCGGAUAACAUGUUGAACCGCAUGGUUUAACAGUGAAAGACGGUCUUGCUGUCACUUAUAGAUGGAUCCGCGCCGCAUUAGCUAGUUGGUAAGGUAACGGCUUACCAAGGCAACGAUGCGUAGCCGACCUGAGAGGGGGAAUGGGCACCCUUGAACUGAGACACGGGCCAGGCCUCCAAGGGGGGGAAGAGUAGGGAAUUUUUCGGAAAGGGGGAAAACCGUAAGGGAGAAACCCGCGGGGAGGAAAAAGGUCUUCGGAUUGGAAAACCCUUUUAUUAGGGAAGAACAAAUGGGUAAGUAACUAUGCACGUCUUGACGGUACCUAAUAAGAAAGCCACGGCUAACUACGUG